AGCAAACCCAGCCGCCAGACCCAGUAUCUCUCUUCCCCCCAUAUGCAUCCCCGCCUCUCCUUCUCGAUUCGACUUCGAUUUCGCUCAGCUGCGCGCUUCGAUUUGCUUUUAUUUUUUCUCGGCCUGCUCGUUCUCCGAUAUUUCCUAUGGAUCGGAGGUUGGUUGUUCGCGGAUCUCGGUGAUGACCUGUGAUGUUAAAGUAGUGGCCUUAUUCAUAUGUUGAUGAGAUCUAUACUAUCACCCAGAGGGAUCUGAGCCAACAAGCAACCCGACCUUGUUGCUCGUCUUGGGAUCUCGUUUUUGCUAUUUGCUUGAGAUGUUUCUGACUCUGUUUCGGCCUCCCGAUGACUGGACAAAUUUUAAGUUUCAGCCUUGUCUGAAAAAUACCAAUCUGUUGAUACAUCUAUGCAAAUGUUUCUGAGGGACUAUUUCUUUUUGAGAUACUUUCUUUUGUUUUAUCUUGUAUGCUAGAUCUAAUGCUUAAAGCUGUCCGAUGAUGAUGAAACUAAACACUUUCGUUCUUCUGAUGCGCUAUCUCAUGGCGCGGUGCGGAAGCAAUUUGGAGACCUGAACUGAGGAAAAGCUUGGUCGUGUCCAAUUUUUUGUGUAUUUCAAUUUUUUGCUUGCAUUUUGCGAUUGAGAUAUUGUUUUGUGUUUGUUGCUUCACAACUGGAAGGAUGGCCUGUUGAUAUCAGUUUGGUCAUCCCGUAGAAGGAAGCAUAGACGGACGGAAACACCGGCCAGCAUAUUUUUGUUUCUUGAGAUUCGUAUGUCUCCAUCGUCUGUUUUCCCUUCCAUUCCCGACUUCUUUGUCGCCCGUGCAACCUGUCUUCUCUGCAUCCAUCCCCUGCAUACGGCUCGGAGGUGGGAGGUUGUUGGCUGGUGGCUGAAAUGAAAAUAGAGGAGGGAGGGGCGGUGGAGCUGGUUGAUGGACAUGCGGCGGUGGCGGCAAAGGGGACCAAAGUCUUUAUAUUUUAGGACUUUUGUCCCUUCGCCGCCGCCGCCACCUCCCAUCCAUCCCUCAACUCCGCCGCCUCUCUCUCUUCAAUUUCAGCCCCCAGCCAACAACCUCCUAGUUCCCAACCGUGUGAUCUGGAUAACGCAUUGCAUUUAUUUCGGCGAAAUAAAGCCAGCAAUUUGGUGUGGUGCGGAAGCAAUUUGGAGACCUGAAUUGAGGAAAUGCUUGAUUAUAUCGUUUGUCCAGUUUUGCGAUUGAAAAACUAUUUUAUGUAACUGGAAGGAUGGCCUAUUGAUAACAGUUUGGUCAUCCCGUAGAGGGAAGCAUAGACGGACGGAAACACCGGCCAGCAUUAAACAGCACGACGCUCAAUCAAACUGCGUCGUGUGACCUGUCUUCUGGCACAUCUCAACACAAAUGUGCAUGUUUUUAUUUCUUGAGAUUCAUGCGCCUCCUUCUCCUGUUUUCCCUUCCUUCCCUGACCUUGUCGCCCGCAUGACCCCAUCUACUCCACAUUCAGCCUUCUGCGUUGAGGGGAUGCUCCUGCGUACAGCUCGGAGGUGGGAGGCGGUUGGCUGGUGGCUGAAAUGAAAUCGAGGAGGGAGAGGGGUGGUGGUGCAGACGGAGGGGUGGGUGGCGGUGUUGGAUACCACAUAAGAGCAUCUCCAACAGCCGCGCGCAAAAAACCUGUUAGCGUGCGUGCUGCGGCUGAUUUUGCGCGCCUGCCUGCGCUGGCUCCAGCAGCGGCGCUAUAAUGCAGUGUGCAGGGCGCAAAAAUACCGCGCGCGCCGCAUAAACCACAUGUACAUUUCAAAGAAGAUAGAAAAAAUGAUCAAACAAACAAAAUAAAAAUUAAUAACAAAUAGGUCAAAAUAAAUCAUUACAACUCAAACAAAUAUUUUAUCGUUUAGUACAACAACAAAUAGUUCAAAAUAAAUUAUUACAACACAAUAAAUAGUUCAUGAACAAUACAAUGUUGAGUGCAGAUAUCAUCAUGAUGUCCAUGCCAUGCCCACCACUCUUUAAUCAGAUCAUUCUGAAGUUUCUUGUGCGUUGUGGGACGCCGAAUGGCAUGAUAGGAGGCAACAAAACGGACUACCUUUUGUCAUACACCUUGCGGGCGCCGCAGCGAGCGCUUAGGUGUUGUUCCUCAGAUGACGGAGACGCGUGGGCGCCGGCGGUACUAGGAGGGGAUGGGCGGAAGCGUGGGCGCGCCGGGGAAGCCUGAGACGGUCGCCGGGGUGCGCGGGCGGCGGCGCGGCCGGUCGGGGGUGGAAGUGCGAGAGGAAGAGCGGACGUGAGCGCUCGAGUGUGCCGCGCGCUGUAGUGGGCGCCCGAAAUACGCCGCGUGGGUAAGUGUUUUUGACCGUGCGCCCAAUUCGUUUUAGCGUGCGCGCCGUUUUUACGCGUCCGUUGGAUGCCCUGACGCGUUGCGCGCGCGCUAAAACGAUCUAUUUUGCGGCGCGGCGCUAGUUUAGCGUGGGUGUUGGAGAUGUUCUAAAUCUUAGAAUUUAGGGCCUCUGAAUUCUAUGACUCAAUCCGGCGCCGCCGCUCACUAUCUCCCUCUGCGCCUCCAUCCCUCCCUCCUGGAUUUAAGCCUCUGGCCAACAACCUCUUGUCUCCCAGCUGUCUGAUCUGGAUCCAACGCACUGCAUUCAUUGUGGCGGAAUAAAGAUUGCUCGACAGUUUUUGGAAUGCUUGAUCUGUAAUUCGGUUGCUUCAGUGUUUUAAAACAUUACUUUGUUUGAGCAAUCAAAUUUAGUUUUGUUGGGUGAUGAUCAAACUAAAUGCUACUGUUUUUGCUCAUAGAGCUAUCUAGUGUUGAGUGGAAGCGAUAUGGAGACCUGAACUGAACAAGGGCUGUAUGAUUUGAGUUUUUAUCAUGGAUGUAUGGCUUGUUAGCAGUUUGGUAUCAUGUAGAGUAACGUGCAUUAAACAGCUCUAUUAAGUAACAGCUUGGGCAUUUGUCUUCUGUCGCAUUUUUUACAUGCGAAAAUAUACCCUCCUUAUGGUUCCACAAUUAAUCUGAUUAACAAAAUCUUCUAAAAUCUUGACAACUACAAUUUUGUUGACCAAAUGAAAGAUUUGAAAUGGGAAGGAGAACUAUUCAAACUAUGAACUGUAUGCUCAUUGACAAGGUCAUCACUCAUCAGCCGAGGGAAAUGUGUAAGGGAGUUGGCCAUCCAAGAUCUAACUAUGUUUUCAUACAUUUCUAAAUACAUGGAAGUUCAUUUUAAAGCAAAUUUCAGCGGUGGAAUGGUGCGUGGCUGUUCUAGUCACGGCGCGUUGGUGAUCUCUGUCUUAAAAGUGACAUCGCGGCAGGUCGCUUUGAGUAAGAGGGCAUCAAAGGGUGAUGGUGUCAAAGAUUUGGAGCUAGCGCUGUUGUUGGAUCUUGGCUUAAAUAGGCGUGAGCAGGCCAAGCCAUUAGGGCAUGUACAAUUGUUUAGACAAGAGUUGUCUGUAAUACUCCGCGAUAUCACUAGGCUGUACUAUCGACACGUUACAAUGCACGAUAUGAGCGGCCGAUGCACCGUCUAUACUCCCUCGGUCUGGAAAUACUUCCACUUUUUGGUUAAUCUCUUUCCUCUACCUGACAAAGAUCUAACGAGGCGUGUAUUACAGAUGGCUGACUAGAUAUCAAUGUACAUGCAAUGUGGUGUAGCUCAGUAGGCUUCUAGGUCAUCAUGCGUUAACCGGCAUGAAUGCAUGACAAUGUCGGAGACAGUUUUUUGGGCUAGAUAAAUUUGAAUGAAGCUAUUGUUGUAUGCCA